rnacentral:rRNA from 1 species
UGAGGAAUAUUGGUCAAUGGACGAGAGUCUGAACCAGCCAAGUAGCGUGCAGGAUGACGGCCCUAUGGGUUGUAAACUGCUUUUGUUUGGGAAUAAUCGACAUUACGUGUAAUGUUUUGCAUGUACCAUUCGAAUAAGGACCGGCUAAUUCCGUGCCAGCAGCCGCGGUAAUACGGAAGGUCCAGGCGUUAUCCGGAUUUAUUGGGUUUAAAGGGAGUGUAGGCGGUUGGUUAAGCGUGUUGUGAAAUGUAGAUGCUCAACAUCUGACUUGGGGGGGGAAUUGGUUAAGUUGGGAACACACAAGGAAGGCGAAAUCCUUGGGUAGGCGGUGAAAUGCUGGGUUAUCAUGAAGAACUCCAUUUGGGAAGGAGGCUUACGGAGUGUUACUGACGCUUAAGCUCGAAGGUGCGGGUAUCGAACAGG